GCUUAGCCCUAAACCUCAGUAGUUAAAGCAACAAAACUACUCGCCAGAAUACUACAAGCAACGGCUUGAAACUCAAAGGACUUGGCGGUGCUUCACAUCCCCCUAGAGGAGCCUGUCCUGUAAUCGAUAAACCCCGAUCCACCCUACCUUCUCUUGCUUAGCCUAUAUACCGCCAUCUUCAGCAAACCCUGAUAAAGGCUACAAAGUGAGCGCAAAUGUCCCCUUUCACAAAAACGUUAGGUCAAGGUGUAGCCCAUGAGAUGGUAAAAGAUGGGCUACAUUUUCUACUUCAGAAUACCCUACGAUAACUCUUAUGAAAUCUAAGAGUCAAAGGAGGAUUUAGCAGUAAAUUAAGAAUAGAGUGCUUAAUUGAACCAGGCCAUAAAGCACGC
rnacentral:rRNA from 1 species